CAAUAGCGUAUAUUAAAGUUGUUGCGGUUAAAAAGCUCGUAGUUGGAGUUCUGCCAGGUGCCGCCUGUCCGCCCCAGUGGUGAGUACGUGGCGCGCAUUUGGCCCUUUCAAGGGGAGCGUAUCUGCACUUUAUUGUGUGGUGCGGGAUCCUUGACUUUUACUUUGAGGAAAUAGGAGUGUUCCGAGCAGGCUCUCGUCGUGCACAGCUCAGCAUGGAAUAAUAGCAUUGGACCUCGAUUCUAAGCUGUUGGUUGCCAGAAGCGAGGUAAUGAUGAAGAGGGAUAGUUGGGGGCAUUCGUAUUUAACUGUCAUAGGUGAAAUUCUUGGAUUUGUUAAAGACGGACUACUGCGAAAGCAUCUGCCAUGGAUGUUUUCAUUGA
rnacentral:rRNA from 1 species